UCCGGGAGAAGGCCAAGGGCGGUCCUCCAGAGAAGCCCCGGCCAAUUACGUGCCAGCAGCCGCGGUAAUACGUAGGGUGCGAGCGUUGUCCGGAAUUACUGGGCGUAAAGGGCUCGUAGGCGGUUUGUCGCGUCGGGAGUGAAAACGCCGUGCUUAACACGGCGCUUGCUUUCGAUACGGGCAGACUAGAGGUAUUCAGGGGAGAACGGAAUUCCUGGUGUAGCGGUGAAAUGCGCAGAUAUCAGGAGGAACACCGGUGGCGAAGGCGGUUCUCUGGGAAUGACCUGACGCUGAGGAGCGAAAGUGUGGGGAGCGAACAGGAUUAGAUACCCUGGUAGUCCACACCGUAAACGUUGGGCGCUAGGUGUGGGGUCCAUUCCACGGAUUCCGUGCCGCAGCUAACGCAUUAAGCGCCCCGCCUGGGGAGUACGGCCGCAAGGCUAAAACUCAAAGGAAUUGACGGGGGCCCGCACAAGCGGCGGAGCAUGCGGAUUAAUUCGAUGCAACGCGAAGAACCUUACCUGGGUUUGACAUACACCCUGCCGCUCCAGAGAUGGGGCUUCUUUUGGGGGUGUACAGGUGGUGCAUGGCUGUCGUCAGCUCGUGUCGUGAGAUGUUGGGUUAAGUCCCGCAACGAGCGCAACCCUCGUUCUAUGUUGCCAGCACGUAAUGGUGGGGACUCAUAGGAGACUGCCGGGGUCAACUCGGAGGAAGGUGGGGAUGACGUCAAGUCAUCAUGCCCCUUAUGUCCAGGGCUUCACGCAUGCUACAAUGGCCGGUACAAAGGGCUGCGAUCCCGUAAGGGGGAGCGAAUCCCAAAAAGCCGGUCUCAGUUCGGAUUGGGGUCUGCAACUCGACCCCAUGAAGUCGGAGUCGCUAGUAAUCACAGAUCAGCAACGCUGCGGUGAAUACGUUCCCGGGCCUUGUACACACCGCCCGUCACGUCACGAAAGUCGGCAACACCCGAAGCCGGUGGCCCAACCCUUGUGGAGGGAGCCGUCGAAGGUGGGGCUGGCGAUUGGGACGAAGUCGUAACAAGGUAACCAAGGGCAG
rnacentral:rRNA from 1 species